UUUAAUUGAAAUGAAAAUUUUUUUAAACUAAAAUCAAUUGAAUUUUAUUAAAUUUUUAGUUUAGAUAGAAUUUAAUUAACUUUGAAAUAUAAUAAAGGGUAUUUAUGAAAUAGAAUUAUGUCACGCCCCGUGGUCCCAUUUUGGUUUAAAAACAAAGCGGAAGUGCCCAAUUUUUUUUUUUUUGAAAACCUGAGCCCCAGGGUAUGCCAAAUCCGUCAAAAAUAUAGGGAGUCCACUGUUCACACAGACAGAGUCUCCCUUGUAUUUGCACGGCGUCGCACAAGCACAAGAUACAUAAACAGAAUACAACCACCACAAUUGAAUAUAUAAACAUUCAUACAUUCAUACAUUCAUACACCAUUCACAACAGAUUCACAUUCAGAGUUUAAUCAUAAAUUUACAACUAUUAGUUUAAAAUGUUUUCUAUCCGGAAAUUUGUUUUGAAAUGCUAAGUCAUGAAAACCACGACAAAACUCUUUUAAAAACUGUUCCCCACAUGAAAACCCUUUUUCUUUAAAACACGCUACCACGAGGAGUAGAAAACUAUUUUCAUCUCAUGAAAAUCAUUAAAUCUUUAUCUCAUUCACAAAAUCUCAUUUAUC
rnacentral:lncRNA from 1 species